UAUUGGACAAUGGGCGCAAGCCUGAUCCAGCAAUACCGCGUGUGUGAAGAAGGCCUUAGGGUUGUAAAGCACUUUCAAUUGGGAGGAAAACCUGCCGGUCAAUACCCGGUAGCUUGACAUUACCUUUAGAAGAAGCACCGGCUAACUCCGUGCCAGCAGCCGCGGUAAUACGGAGGGUGCGAGCGUUAAUCGGAAUUACUGGGCGUAAAGCGUGCGUAGGCGGUUCGUUAAGUCAGAUGUGAAAGCCCUGGGCUCAACCUGGGAACUGCAUUUGAAACUGGCGGACUAGAGUUUAGUAGAGGGGAGUGGAAUUUCAGGUGUAGCGGUGAAAUGCGUAGAUAUUUGAAGGAACACCAGUGGGGAAGGCGACUCCCUGGACUAGAACUGACGCUGAGUACGAGG
rnacentral:rRNA from 1 species